GUGGAUUCCUGCACACUUAUCAGGCUGGUUUUAGCUCAUUUUGUGGCAUUACAGAGAGAACCUAAGCCAUUUGCAUAUCGGACUGAUCCUAUCAAUAUGGCAGUCAGAUCCAAAAUUCUCUGCACGUAAGAUACAGCGACCCCGGUCAACCAUUACAGCCUUGCAAUGCCUCGUCAGUGAGGUAUAGCCGAUACUCCUCUAGGCACCAUGAACAACAGGUCUACGUCUG